rnacentral:rRNA from 1 species
UGACACAGGGAGGUAGUGACAAGAAAUAACAAUGCAGGGCUAUUUUAGUCUUGCAAUUGGAAUGAGUACAAUUUACAUCUCUUCACGAGGAUCAAUUGGAGGGCAAGUCUGGUGCCAGCAGCCGCGGUAAUUCCAGCUCCAAUAGCGUAUAUUAAAGUUGUUGCAGUUAAAACGCUCGUAGUCGGAUUUCGGGGCGGGAGCGCCGGUCUGCCGAUGGGUAUGCACUGGCGGUCGCGUCCUUCCUUCCGGAGGCUGGCUCUUCUCUUAACUGAGCGGAGUCGGAAGUCGGAUCGUUUACUUUGAAAAAAUCAGAGUGUUUCAAGCAGGCAGCUCGCUCUUGCAUGGAUUAGCAUGGGAUAAUGAAAUAGGACUUUGGUGCUAUUUUGUUGGUUUCGACC